rnacentral:rRNA from 1 species
AGUGAACGCUGGCGGUAGGCCUAACACAUGCAAGUCGAACGGCAGCACAGUAAGAGCUUGCUCUUACGGGUGGCGAGUGGCGGACGGGUGAGGAAUACAUCGGAAUCUACUUUUUCGUGGGGGAUAACGUAGGGAAACUUACGCUAAUACCGCAUACGACCUACGGGUGAAAGCAGGGGAUCUUCGGACCUUGCGCGAUUGAAUGAGCCGAUGUCGGAUUAGCUAGUUGGCGGGGUAAAGGCCCACCAAGGCGACGAUCCGUAGCUGGUCUGAGAGGAUGAUCAGCCACACUGGAACUGAGACACGGUCCAGACUCCUACGGGAGGCAGCAGUGGGGAAUAUUGGACAAUGGGCGCAAGCCUGAUCCAGCCAUACCGCGUGGGUGAAGAAGGCCUUCGGGUUGUAAAGCCCUUUUGCUGGGAAAGAAAAGCAGCAGGUUGAUACCCCGCUGUUCUGACGGUACCCAAAGAAUAAGCACCGGCUAACUUCGUG